AAGAUUACCGUCAGCAGCUCUGGCUUUUCUGCUCUUAAAGCACCUCUAAUGACGGCUGCAUUAGUCCCGGAUUCCCCCGAUGUAUAUAUGUGGUUUUUCUACGAGGGAAAGUAGUACUCUCAAGACAAAAGACCUUAUCUAUAAAUUGAAAAUGGAUAUUUGGUGCUGGCAUUCCAUAGCUAACUACAAUCCUCAACCUAAA
rnacentral:lncRNA from 1 species